CCUACGGGGGGCUGCAGUGGGGAAUUUUGGACAAUGGACGAAAGUCUGAUCCAGCAAUGCCGCGUGCAGGACGAAGGCCUUCGGGUUGUAAACUGCUUUUGUACAGAACGAAAAAGUCUUUAAUAACACUAGAGGCUCAUGACGGUACUGUAAGAAUAAGCACCGGCUAACUACGUGCCAGCAGCCGCGGUAAUACGUAGGGUGCAAGCGUUAAUCGGAAUUACUGGGCGUAAAGCGUGCGCAGGCGGUUAUAUAAGACAGAUGUGAAAUCCCCGGGCUCAACCUGGGACCUGCAUUUGUGACUGUAUAGCUAGAGUACGGUAGAGGGGGAUGGAAUUCCGCGUGUAGCAGUGAAAUGCGUAGAUAUGCGGAGGAACACCGAUGGCGAAGGCAAUCCCCUGGACCUGUACUGACGCUCAUGCACGAAAGCGUGGGGAGCAAACAGGAUUAGAUACCCCGGUAGUC
rnacentral:rRNA from 1 species